rnacentral:lncRNA from 1 species
GGACAGAGAGGACGUAGUAUAGGAGCUCUGCGACCCUUUCCGCCCAUCUGGAAAAAGUUCGUUUCUUCACUGGUUAAGAUCACGAUCACUCUGUGACGAGUUUUACAUGAUUUCUGGUUUUAUCCUUUGAACAGCGCGAUCAAAUUUUGAAUGUGGCUGAAGAAAAGGAAUAUUCUUUGCAAAGUAAAAUCUCUAUAAAAGUCCUCAACUAAGAGGCUCUAUUAAGCUAAGCCCUCCGCCAUCGCCACCGCCACCGCCGCCUCUCGCCCCGCUGAACCCCGGAGGAUGUAAGCGCACCGGGAAGCCUCCAAGAAGAAGAAGAAGAGUUUCCGGCGAAGAGGAGGAGAAGGAGGAAGAGGUGGAGGAGGUGGAGGAUCGGCCGAAGCGAUGAGGAAGAACUCCACCUUCCGCUUCCCGGCGCAGGACCACUACCUGCCAGAAGAGGUCAACUUCUGGACGAUGGCGAUUGUGGCGGUCGGUACGGGCUUCAUCUUCACCGUCGCCGUCUCCAUCUACCUCAUAUG